GCAGCAGCCGCGGUAAGACAGAGGUGGCAAGCGUUGUUCGGUAUCACUGGGCUUAAAGCGUGUGUAGGCGGAAGCGUAAGCAUUUUGUGAAAUCCCCCGGCUCAACCGGGGCAUUGCUUGAUGUACUGCGCUUCUUGAGGCAGGUAGGGGUGCGAGGAACUCUUGGUGGAGCGGUGGAAUGCGUAGAUAUCAAGAGGAACGCCGGUGGUGAAGACGUCGCACUAGGCCUGUCCUGACGCUGAGACACGAAAGCGUGGGGAGCAAACGGGAUUAGAUACCCCGGUAGUCCACGCCGUAAACGAUGUCUACUAGGUUGUGGCGGUUCUGACGCCGGCACAGCCGAAGCAAAAGUGUUAAGUAGACCGCCUGGGGAGUACGGUCGCAAGGCUAAAACUCAAAGGAAUUGACGGGGGCCCGCACAAGC
rnacentral:rRNA from 1 species